rnacentral:lncRNA from 1 species
CUUUGGGAAAAAAAUGCCCAUGAAUGUUUUCUUUUUGCAUAGAGACCAUAUUAUAGAUGCUCUUCAGGAAGUAAGAGUAAAUCAUAACGGUUUCCUGAAUGGCUUAUCUAUUAGUACUAUUGUGGAAAUGACUUCAUCUGUUCUGAAAAACUCUGCUUCCAGUUAGGAAUAAACAAAGCAAUAAAGAGGUAAAGUAACCAUUUUCUUUGAUAUUUAAGUAUUACUAAAGCAUUUUAAGUUAUUGAUUUCAUUUUCUUUAGAAAUAAAAAGAAUAAUUUUAAAUUAAAAUAGUAACAUAAAAUACUAAAUUUAAAAACCAGUAUUGCAUUAAAUAACUAUUAAUUCAAAGCCUUAAAAUUAAUUAACUUAAACAUUUAUCAUCUCACAAUUUGCAGAUUGGAAUUCUUAGCUGGGUGGUUUUAGCUCAGAGUCUCACCAUGUUGCAUUCAAGAUGUUGAUCUGACUGUGGUAAUCCAGAGGCUGGCUGAGAUUGAAAGCUCAGCUUCUAAGAGGGUCCAUUCACAUGGGAGGCUUCAGUUGCUCAUCACAUGGACCUGCCUUUCCAUUAGACUCGUUGGAUGUCCUUACAUGUGGCAGCUGGCUUCCCUUGGGAAAGUGAGAGCACAAUGGAAGCAGCAUUGUCUUUUGUGGACUGCCCUUAGGAGUUGCAGUCUGUCAUUUUGCCACACUAUUAAAUGGGGAUCACUAAAUCUAAUCCACACUCAAGGGGAGGAGAAUUAAGCUCCACCUCUUGAACAAAGGCAACAAAGAGUUUGUGUAUAUUUUCUGAAUUUCUACAGAUUAACGUAGAAUUUCUUUUGCAAACUAGUGGAUCAGGUCUUUUGUUUCCAGCAUAAGGUAUCCAGGUAAUUCAAGCCAACUUUCUACUGAGAACAGCUAGAAGCUCAAUAUAUAUAUUUUUUAAAACAAUUUUUGUUUGAAGACAUUGAAGAGCUAUCAAUAUAAUGAUCAAUUACGUGGCUAAUGUACAGAAAAAAUAUUCUCAGAGAAAUAUGCUCAAUGUUUGGAACCAGUUUCUCCCUGGUAUUUGCUAAGGAGCAGCUAAAGGGACCCUUUUUGUAACGUUACAGCUAGAGGAAUGGAAACUUGGUAGACUUUGUAGGGGGUUGGGAUUCCAAAAGGCUGUGCUCUAGGAGUAAAUUUGAACUAGAACUAAUUUGUUUCUCAGAGGGGCUGUAACUCAGAUUUAGAAUUUAUUCCCUAGGUAGGAUUGAAAUGAUCUACAGUUAUUGCUUUUGCCAGAUAACUAAGAGAAAUUAAAAUAAGAAUUCUUUGUAAUAAAGUAAUACCAUUUUAGUUCUCAAAUUAUUUAUGCCAGAAUUUGAUACGUAAUAGUUUAUUUUGUGAAUAAGAGUGUACUAUAAAAAAUAAUCAUAAAGAAAUAAGCUCAUGUGAAUGAAAAAUAACUUUAAAAUGUGGUAUAUAUACAUAGUAGAAUAUUAUUCAGCCAUAAAAAAGAAUGAAAUUAUGGCAUUUGCAGUAAAUGAAAGGAUCUGGAGACUAUCAUGCUAAGUAAAAUAAGCCAAUCCCAAAACACCAAAGGCCAAAUGUUCUCUCUGAUAUGCGGAUGCUAACACCCAGUAAAGGUGGGGGAGAAGGGAAGAAUAAAAGUUCAUUGGAUUAGACAAAGGGGAAUGAAGGGAAGGAAGAAGGGAUGGGAAUAGGAAAGACAGUAGAAUGAAUGGAUACCUUUCCUAUGUUCAUAUAUGAAUACAUGACCAGUGAAACACUCUACAUCAUGUACAAUCACAAGAAUGGGAAGUCAUACUCCAUGUAUGCAUAGUUUGUCACAAUACCUUCUGCCGUCAUUUAUAACUAUAAAAAGAACAAAUAAUUUUUUUUAAAGUUACCUUAAGUACUAGAUAAUAGAAACUAACCAGAGAGAUUCUAGAUAUUUGUCAGAACCACUUUAAAAAAAAAUGCCUGGGACUAGGGAUGUAGCUUAGUAUGAUAGAUCACUUGCCUAGCAUGUGUGAGGCCCUGAGAUCAAUCCCCAGCACUGCAAAAACAAAAACACGUGCUUGCUGAGAGUGAUGGUUCAUGCUCAAGGCCAGCCUCAGGAACUUAGCAACAUCCUGUCUCAAAAUAAAUAAAUAAAUAACAGCUCAUUCUCCUGAGACACCAUCAAAAAAUUUUACAAACAUAAGAUUGUACAUCCAGGAAAAGAACCAUCAAGAAUAACAGUAAAAUAUUUUCAUGAAAAUAAAACUAUAGUGGGCAUGUUGGCAUAUGCCUAUAAUCCCAGCUCCUCAGGAAGCUGAGGCAGAAGUUGGAGGCCAGAUUGGGGAACUUAUAGAGACCCUGUCUCAAAGAAAAAUAAAAAAGGGGUAGGGAUGUAGCUCAAUGGCAGAGCACUUGCCUAGCAUGUGCAAGAUCCUGGGUUUAAUCCUCAGUACUGCAAAAAAAAAAAAAAAAUCUGAAAUAACUUGUUGCUUUAGAAGGAGAGACACUCUUAAAAAAUAAAAAUACUAAAGAGUGUUCAAGAAAGAAGGAAAGUGAUUUUAAAUGAAGGUUCAGAAGUGCAGGAGAAAUGAAUGUCAAAAAAGAACAAUUAUGUCCAUACUGACUGUAUAAAACAAGAAUAGUGGUAUUUUAUAGAGUCUAUAUGAUUAAAAUAUAUGACAAUACUAGUAUAUAUAAGUUGAGAGGGAAAUAAGUAUUCUUACUGUUUUAAGCACCUUGCAGUUGGGGAAGAGAGGAUAAAAUGUCUAUGUUAGGUUCCCAACCAUUCCCCCAGGCUAGAAGGACUCAGCAUGAAACAGUGUAUAGGUGUACACAUAGCUGUAACUUAUUAUAACAUGAUACAGAGCAAAAUCAACAAAGGGAAAAGACACCUGUGGUGAGUCUGGAGGAAACCAGAUGCAAACUUCUAGGGAGCCACACAGGGUGUGUUUGAUUUCUCCAUCUACUAGGGAAACUCAUUAAUGACUCAGGGCCCAAGGAUUUUAUUGGGGAUUGGUCAUGUAGGUACUCUGCCUACAUACCAUAGUCUACACUCAGAAAGAAAGCAGCUGUUUAGCAUAAACAGAUGUUUAUAUAAACAGUUUCAACACAGUGAGGCAGUCAUAACUUCUGGAAAGGGGAGGAACCUCUUGAAAUCCAGAUUUCCAGACACUAGCCAAGGGCCUACCUUGUAAGUAGAAUUUUCUAAAGACGGCACUCUUGGGUCUCUCUUGCUGUGUUAACUCUCUUUUCUACACAUGCUGUUUGAUAUGAGACUUUGAUAAACUAGCGAAUGCAUGUUGUAUUCUGCUGAGGGGCCUGCCCUUCCAGUAUUGACUGGGGAACUUGAGGGUGUGGAGAAACCCCUCUGGAGAUAGUUUCAGAGAACAGUGUCUGCUUUAUUGCACAGCAGAAAUAGCUUUUACAGAGGGUAUGUCUCAAUUUACAUAUAACAGUCAUGAUAGGCCAGAGGUGACACACCUCUUAAGGGAAUCAAGACACCAAGAGUCCAGAAACGGCCAUGUAGGCCAGCCUUGCAACAGCACGGGAAUAACUUCUUGUCAGGGGAGCAAGGAAAUGGCACUUGCCAGUGUUUUGACAGCACUUUGCCCCAAAACACAGCGUUCUAUGUUAGGACUUCCCUGCUGUAUAAUGAGCAAGAUAAGCAUUCCUCCGUGUAGGUCCAGGGUUAGGCCCUGCAACAGUAAUCUUUGGAGUAACACUUAAAAGAACAAAUCUUAAAAGCAUGCAAAUAUAGAGUUGGGUCUUUUACCUAUACCAUAUCCAAAUAUUAACUCAGAGUGGAUCAAAAACUAAAACUGUUCAUAGAAGAAAUGAGUACAGAGUUUCAGAUCGGGAAGAGGAAAGAGCUCUGGAGAUUGAUGGUGAUAAUGGCCAUACAGCAGUGUUAACAUACUUCAUGAGUGUGAACCUGCUGAACUGUACAUUUGAAAGUAGUAAAUUUUAUGUGUAUUUUACUACAAAAAGAAAAAAUAUAUAACUCCCAUGAUGAUACGGGUGAGGAAUUUGAAGUAUUAAAAAUAGUACAAAAGUAGUUUUUUUAAAAAAUAGAAUAAAAAGACACAGAGCAGUCAGGAUAAAUAGGAGGAACUUAGAUGAUGAAAAUGCAUUUAUUUCAGUAAAUACAAUUGUAGAUGAACUAAAAGACUUGAUAGAUCAACAGGUUAGAUUUUAAAAUGUCAACUACAAAUACAUAGUAUUUCUAGAUACCACCUAGAAGUAUUAGGAUAUGAAAAGGUAAGAGUCUGGAAAAAGAAAUAACUAUAUUAACACAAAAACAAAGCAAUAAAAUUAUCAAGAGAGAUGUUCCAUUUACCAGGAAUAAAUAAUAAUUCUAAGUUUGUGUACAUCUAAAAUACCUUCAAAAUAUAUAAGACAGAUAUUUCCAAAAUUGCCAGGAAAAAUGAUUGUAAGUCUGUGAUAAUAAUAGGAAGUUUUUAACAUAUUUCUCUUAUAGAAGCAAGCAAAAUGGGCUGGAUUGUGGCUUAGUGGUGGAGUGCUCGUCUAGCAUGCAUGAAGCACUGGGUUCAAUCCUCAGCACCACAUAAAAAUAAAAAAGAUAUUGUGUCCACCUAAAACUAAGAAAUAUUUUUUAAAAAGCAAGCAAAAAAUAUAUCAGUGAUGAUACAGAACAUCUGAACUACUAAAAAAUAAUCACUGGACUUAACUGGUCAUAUUUAGAACACAGUAUUCCCUAAAAUGAAAAAAUAAAUAAAGUGUCUUCGAGUCACCUGAAAUGUUUACAAAAUUUGACUAUAUACUAGACCAUAAAAUAAGUCUCAAAAAAUACUAAAAGAAUGAAAAAAGUAUAUUUCUGACCAUAAUACAAAUAACCUAGAAAUCAUUAAUGAGAAUAAAAAUAGGAAAACCCCAUGUUUUGAAAUACAUGUCUAACCAAUAAAUGAAGGAAUUCAUAAUUAAAACUGGACUAUAUGUUUUAGUGAAUGAUGAUGAAAAUGCUCCAUAUCAAAGUUUGUGGGACACAGAGCUGUGCUAUAACUGAAAUGGAUAGCUUUAAAUGCCUAUGUCAUAAAAUAAAUAACUGAAAAUUAAUGAGUAAAGUGUGCAAUUCAAAAAUUUGGAGAAAAAAGAAAAAGUAUAAGAAAGGAAGAAAUUAAACUCAUCAUCUGUAUGUACAGCUAAUUCUAUACAUAGGAAAUCCCAUGAAUUCUACACAUAGACUAUCAGAAUUAAAAAGGAUUGCUGGAUGCAAAGACAGUACACAAAAAAGUCAGUUGCAAUUCCACAUACCAUAUAAUGUCGGAAAAAUGGAUUUUUAAAAAAGAUAAUCAUAGUACCAUUAAAACUAUCAACUACCAGGAAUGUAUUUAACAAAAGACUCAAGACCUCUAUUUGAAAACUAUAAACAGAGAAAUUAAAGAAAUUCUAAACAAAUUGAGGGUUGUAUCUUCUGUCUGGAUUAGAAGACUCAAUAGUGUAAAGAUACCUGUUCUCUUCAUCCUGUCCAAUGCAUUUAGUGCUAUCCUGAUAAAAUCCUAAUCAUGUAUUUUUGUGGAACUAAAUAGCAAGCAGAUUCUCAAAAUUAUGAAAAUACAAAAGGUCAAGUAUAGCCAAAUGGUUUUUGAGAAAAAUAAAGUGGACUGGUUUUAUCAUAUGUUGAUGUUAUGAAAUGAUAAUAUUAUUUUUGUGCAAGGAAAGACAAAUAGAUCAACUGAACAGAAAAGAGAACUUUAAAACAAUGACAUAAAUAUGUAAUCACUUGAUUAGCAUGAAGGUGGCAUCACAGAAUAAUAGGGAAUAGAACAGUCUUUUUAAUAAAUGAUUUUCUCCAUCUGACAAGAAAUUUUCACCAAUCAGAUUGGUAGACAUUCUGCUGUUGGGACAGUCAGUGCAAAUGAAAGGAAAAUCAUCAGUGCCUUUAAAAGUCAUACAUGUAUUUACUUUUUGACCUAAAAAUCUCACUUCACCAUUCUGUCAGAAAUAAAUUGGCAGAUAUAAUGUCUCAUGCACAAGGUUCUUUGGCAGAAGAUUAGAAACAUCUACAUAUUGACUGUUAGACAAAAAUAAGAAAAGGUCUGAACACUAAUGGAGUAAACUUCUGUCAAUUUUGUUUAUGUAACUAAAUCAAGAGAAAUAUAUGCAAUCUACAUUUUAAAAGGGAGAAAUAUGAGUAUAGGUACACAUAUUUACUUUUGUUUGUAAGAAGAAACUGGAAGGAAAACCUGAUAAAAUGAUUGCAGGGAGAGGAUGAUAUAGUGAUAGAAACAAAAGGUCUCAUAUACAUUCUUGGUUUUGGAAACCUAAAUGUUUUCCAUUUGCUAAUAUAAAAGGAAAGAGAAAAUAAUUUUAAAUGAAAACAAAACUAAAAUGAAUGAAACUACUUGUAUAACCAUAUAAAAGAAAAUAAUUAUUGCAUUUAUUUUUUAGGUGUAGAUGGACACAACACAAUGCCUUUAUUUUUAUGUGGUGCUGAGGAUCGAACCCGGGUCCCGCCCGUGUUAGGAGAGCGCUCUACUGCUGAGCCACAAUCCCAGCCCCUAAUUAUUGCAUUUACAUGUUUAUUACAUUUUAACUAUUCUUCUAGAUAUAUCACAUAUUCUAAGUACAACUAGAGCUGUAAAGAAUCAUAAAUCAUAAUAGUAACAACACUUUGGAACUUUUUAAAAAUAUAUUUAUUUUUUAGUUGUAGUUGGACACAAUACCUUUAUUUAUUUAUCUUUAUGUGGUGCUGAGGAUCGAACCCAGGGCCUCACGUGUGCUAGGCAAGUACUCUACCGCUGAGCCACAACCCCAGCCCCAACACUUUGGAACUUUAUAUAGAAAACAUAAUUAUGUUAGAAACUGAUAUCUUUGGUAUACAAGAAGAAAGGUAUAAAAAUCAAAAGCUAAAUUUAAAUUUCUGUAUUAUUAAACUUGAAUUGAAAAUAAUAUUAAGUCAUGAUUCUGAAUUUCAGAAUUACCUGAUUGUAGUUUUAUCUAUUGAAAACACUCCAAAGCCAAUGAGAACCCAGCGACAUUGAGCACAACUAACAUCUAGAUUGUUUCUCUGAAUACCAUUUCCUACUACUUUUGUCUUUGAUCUUUCCAGCCACACAUUUAAAUAGUGCUUUAUAUUUACUUUCUAUCUUAACUAUCAUCUUGCUUUUAUCUCCAGUAAUCUGUUAAGUCUAGUCUUGAUCAUUUACAAAUUCCCAGAUAAUCAUUUUGUUACAUUUGUUACUCUUUAUGACCCAUUCCACUCUUAAAAUCAUUGUAAAAUUUAAAGCAAUCAAAAAUGUACAUAUUUUCACAUAUGUGUGCAAAAGUCUAUAUACCAGGUCACGAUAUAUAAGGUUUCCCGCACCCCAGAAGGCUUCUAUGUGCCCCUUCUCAAUUAUUACCCUGUAUACCACUAUUAACCUUUUUUUGACUUUUGGAUGCUGAGAAGUCAGCUGAAAUAAAAUUUCCUGCCUUCCAGGAACCUGAAUUCUAGAAAGGAAAAGGAAAUAAAAAUAUAUUUUCAAAUAAUGAUACAUUCUACAAAGUAGAAUCAUGGGCUACAAAAUAAUGAGGGACAGGAUGUAUGUCUACUAAGGUAGCUUAGGUGCUUUACAAUGAUAGAAGAUGACACCUGACCGAAUUGGAUUUUCUGUUAAAACACUGUUAAUAAUUGCUUUUUUUCUGUAAACAAUGUCUGAAAAGUUUUCUGUGUAUAAUAUCUGGCAUCCUUCAAUCUAAUAAUAGAGCUUAUUGAUAUAAUAAAUCAAGUAAUAGAAUUUAAUUGUGAAUUAACACAUACGAUAUUCAUGUAUAAGUGAGUCUUGAUAAGUUUAGUAGUAGUGUAUACUAAUAACUAAAUAUAUGCUUUCCUAGAAUAUUAGGUUUAGCAAAAUCAAUAUAUUUCAUUGUUGAUUUUUCCCUUCUGUUCUUAACCCUAUAGGAUUUCCAUGGAAAUCAGAGUGCCCUUCUUCAGAGAAUGUUCUGCAGCACUUAGAAAAAAGUUAUGGUAAUAGCAAGAUACAAUUAAAUAACCUCAGUAACUAGCCUUAGCUGUUAAAAUAUUUUACUUCAUAUCCCUCCAUAAUUUUAUCUUUUUAAACUUUAUUUCAAACUUGUUACUUAGAGACUUAAAACUGCAUAUUUUGGAUCAGAAAAAAGGUCAUGUCCAUUUUUAAAAAACCUUUGAUAAGUCAAUUUAAAAAAAAAAACUGACCUAGAAAAGGUUUAUUGAUAUCGUUUCAUAGUUCAUUAACUGAUAUCCAUACAUAAAACUGUAAUUUACCUUAAGUUCAUAUAUUAGCUGCAGUUUUUAAAUGUCUAAAAGACCCUUAAAUUGGACCAUAAGAUAAUAGAUAGUUUGAAUUUAUAGAAAUAGAAAAUAUUGUCACAUUUAUUUUUAAGCUCAAAGACAAGUAAGUCACUGCUGUGAUAUACUUAAUGCAUAUUUCCAACUUCAGUAUGAAACAUUCAAUUGUAGUUUUCCUGUUUUCACAGAGAAGGGUGACCCAUGUGUGCUUUGGUCUAGUACUGAAAUUUAAAUGGUUAUCAUAUUGCUUGCACCUGUUCUGUGAUAAGUUCUUUUGUAUUAGUGUAUAAAGUGGAACACUUUUCAAAGGCUAAUUUGGUUCCCUAUCUGAUAGGAAUAUAGGAUAUAAACUUCUUUAAUUGCUUGCUUUUUUAAAGUACCAAAUAUGUACUUCUUAAAGUUACAUGUUUAAUAAUAAUAAGUGUUUAAAUGUUUAGAGCAUCCAGUGUAUAGUUGGUGUUACUUGAUUACAAAUUUCCCACUUAACAUUUAUAUUUGAUGUACUUAAAUUUAAUAAAGGCAGCUAAUCUAUAAUUCCACUGUAAAUCUAAUACUUUCUGGAAGUGCAAUGGGAUUGUCCAAGUGUGAAUUAACCUCCCAGUGUUAUGUGGACUACAUAGGGCGGUAAGAC